UACGUAUGGUGCAAGCGUUAUCCGGAUUUACUGGGUGUAAAGGGAGCGCAGGCGGCGCGUUAAGUCUGAUGUGAAAACCCGCGGCUCAACUGCGGGACUGCAUUGGAAACUGGCGGGCUUGAGUGCCGGAGAGGCAAGCGGAAUUCCUAGUGUAGCGGUGAAAUGCGUAGAUAUUAGGAGGAACACCAGUGGCGAAGGCGGCUUGCUGGACGGUAACUGACGCUGAGGCUCGAAAGCGUGGGGAGCAAACAGG
rnacentral:rRNA from 1 species